rnacentral:rRNA from 1 species
AUGACGCGGGUGGCAUAUGAGCACUUCUCCUCCAUCCUGGGCACCGUGACUGCGCGGACCCAUUCCAUCCGCCUCGACGCGAUCAAUCACAAAAGCUUUGACCUUCUUGAGCUGGACGCUCCUUUCUCUGAGGAAGAGAUUUUGGACGCAUCAAGAACAUGCCAACGGGCAAGGCAUCCCGGCCCCGAUGGAUUUACCUCCGAAUUCCUCCGGGCAUGUUGGCCAAUCAUCAAAGCGGAUAUCUGCGAGGCUUUUGACAAGCUCUACGCUAUGAACGGGCACGGCUUCCACAAGCUCAAUGAGGCCCUCCUCAUUCUGCUGCCCAAGAAACCUGAUGCUGCCGUGAUUGCCGACUACCGGCCCAUUAGUCUGAUCCACAUCGGUGCUAAACUGUUUACCAAGGUGCACUCCUCGCGCCUCGCUCCCAGGAUGAAGGAGAUCGUCUCCGCCAACCAAAGCGUGUUCACAACACGAUAA